UGCCAGCANHMGCGGUUACACAGCUAUCUAGAGCUUAACUAUUAGGUAAUAUGGUCCACUUCCCUUUGAGGGAAAAAAAGAGGUAAAAGAGUCCAAUCUUUAAAAAACCCCCGGCCGCCGCCCCCUCUAAGGGUGAACACCAUGAGAGUUAAUUAUAGAACUGGGAUUAGAGACCCCACUACUUUUAACUGUAAACAGUAAUACCAGGGUAUUACGAGCUUCUAGCUUAAAACCUAAAGAGCUUGGCGGUCCCCUAUAAUACCAGGGAAGCUUGUUGUAUAAACGAUAAUCCGCGCUAAUCYUCACCUCCCCUUGAGAACCCAGCCUGUAUACCUCCGUCCUAAGCUAACCUUGAAAAAAGAGUAAAAGUUGGCGACUGAGUCUAAACUCCCRAUAUCAGGUCAAGGUGCAGCCUAUGGGGAGGAAUUUUAUGAGCUACAUUACCRUCAGUAAAUGGAGCCUUCARUCAAAAUAAARGGUGAGAUAGUACUUGGUAGUAAUAGGGGUUUAACACGCCUCUAUGAAAUAUAUUUAGGGGGUGUACAAAUCGCCCGUCAAUCCCCCAACUAGGGGGAAAAGUCGUAACACAGUA
rnacentral:rRNA from 1 species